GCCGGCGAGAGGCGUGGGCACCAGUUCAUCUUGUUUACACGGAUAGUGAUAGACUCCUUGCAAGAUUUUAUCCAUUGUGUCUGGAAAACCUCGGAAAAAAGACUUGAUUGCAUAAGAUAUCCAGCACCUCCUCUCCUGUAAUGUGGACUAUCCUCAAGACAUCCCAUUAACUUUCCCUGAGUUUCCUAGUCUUCGAGAGUGGAAGAAUAAAUGGUGUCUUUUGACUACACUGGGGCUGAUGGGAUACCUGACAUUGUAUUAGAGAACUAUGCUUGCAGUCAACUGUAAAUCUUGGCUUGGAGCCAGCAGGUCUGCAGAAGACAGCUGAAACCAGACUUUGAAAUAAAACGGUGCGAGGUCAGCCUUGAGCACACUGACAAGGGGAACUGAUUGGUGUUGUUUUUGUUUUAUCUUGAUCUAUGUGAUACAUUAAGUUCUUAA